rnacentral:rRNA from 1 species
UACGGAGGGUGCAAGCGUUAUCCGGAUUCACUGGGUUUAAAGGGUGCGUAGGUGGGCAGUUAAGUCAGUGGUGAAAUCUCCGGGCUCAACCCGGAAACUGCCAUUGAUACUAUCUGUCUUGAAUGUUGUGGAGGUGAGCGGAAUAUGUCAUGUAGCGGUGAAAUGCUUAGAUAUGACAUAGAACACCAAUUGCGAAGGCAGCUCACUACACAAAGAUUGACACUGAGGCACGAAAGCGUGGGGAUCAAACAGG